UACGUAGGGUGCGAGCGUUGUCCGGAAUUAUUGGGCGUAAAGAGCUCGUAGGCGGUCUGUCGCGUCGGUCGUGAAAACUUGGGGCUUAACCCUGAGCUUGCGGUCGAUACGGGCAUGACUUGAGUUCGGCAGGGGAGACUGGAAUUCCUGGUGUAGCGGUGAAAUGCGCAGAUAUCAGGAGGAACACCGGUGGCGAAGGCGGGUCUCUGGGCCGAUACUGACGCUGAGGAGCGAAAGCGUGGGGAGCGAACAGGAUUAGAAACCCGGUAGUCC
rnacentral:rRNA from 1 species